rnacentral:lncRNA from 1 species
AAAGGGGACAUGUGGGGGGGGGGCACACAAAGGGGAUAUGUGGGGUGGGGGUCCCGUGUGGGUCCCAGCCCCAAAUCCUAUUGAGAGGCCCCCAGGUGCAAAGUGUGGGGCGGACAUACAGCAGACGGGGGCCCCCCCCCCCCAACAGACGGGGCUGUGCCCUCAUCCUCAUCCUCAUCCUCAUCCUCAUCCUCAUCCUCAUCCUCGGCACUGGCUGCAUGGGAUGCUGCUGUUGCAUGCGGCGCUGCUGCAGGGGAUGGGGGGAGCAGAGGGAUGCAGGGGAUAGAGGGGCAUGGAGCUGCAGGGCUGCAGAGACCAAGGGCUGCAGGGAUGCAUUGCCAACAUGGAUACGGGGAUAUGGGGCUGCAGGGAUGCAGAGCUGCACAGGACCCAGGGCUGCAGGGAUCCAAAGCUGCAGGGGUGCAGAGAUGCAGAGCUGGUGGGGACCCAGGGAUACAGGGGAUGCAGGGAUCCCAGGCUGCAGGGAUGCAGAGCUGGAAGGGAUGCAGGGAUGCAGGGGAUGCAGGGAUCCCAGGCUGCAGGGAUGCAGGGAUUCAGGACGUGGAGAUGCAGAGACUCGAUGCCGCAGGGCUGCAGACCCAGCCGGGAUCCAGGGCCGCCCCGUCCGUCUUAUCCCCAUACAGACACACGGUGUCGGGGGGGGGUCCCCUCCCAAACCCCUCCCAGACCCCUCCCCCUCCAUCAGACCCCCCCCCCCAUUCCCCAUAGACCCCCCGGGGGUCUCCUGUGUCUGGUCCCGCACCGCCUGCGCCCAGCCCGGCAGGUUGAUGCGCUGAUCGUCCAUGAUGAGCAGCCGGGCUCCGUGUCCGCUGCGCUGCAGCGCCGGCCCCAGGUCCAGGGCGAUAAAAUCCCGCUGUUGUUCCGCCGUAAAAGCGACGGUGGGAAACAGCGGGUGGGCGAACAGCGCCGCGAGGGGCUCGUUCUGAGCCGUCAGAGCCCAGAAAGACACGUUGUGUCUGAGGUACGAGUCCAGGAACCUGCCGCGGGGCGGGGGGACAA